GACGAACCGAGCGAACGUUGUUCGGAAUCACUGGGCUUAAAGGGCGCGUAGGCGGGCUGUCAAGUCUGGGGUGAAAUCCCACGGCUCAACCGUGGAACUGCCUUAGAUACUGACGGCCUCGAGGGAGAUAGGGGCGAGCGGAACUGUGAGUGGAGCGGUGAAAUGCGUAGAUAUCGAGAGGAACACCAGAGGUGAAGACGGGUUGCUGGGCUGACACUGACGCUGAGGCGCGAAAGCCAGGGGAGCAAACGGG
rnacentral:rRNA from 1 species